CCUACGGGUGGCAGCAGUAGGGAAUCUUCCACAAUGGGCGAAAGCCUGAUGGAGCAACGCCGCGUGGGUGAAGAAGGUCUUCGGAUCGUAAAACCCUGUUGUUAGAGAAGAAAGUGCGUGAGAGUAACUGUUCACGUUUCGACGGUAUCUAACCAGAAAGCCACGGCUAACUACGUGCCAGCAGCCGCGGUAAUACGUAGGUGGCAAGCGGUAUCCGGAUUUAUUGGGCGUAAAGGGAACGCAGGCGGUCUUUUAAGUCUGAUGUGAAAGCCUUCGGCUUAACCGGAGUAGUGCAUUGGAAACUGGGAGACGUGAGUGCAGAAGAGGAGAGUGGAACUCCAUGUGUAGCGGUGAAAUGCGUAGAUAUAUGGGAGAACACCAGUGGCGAAGGCGGCUCUCUGGUCUGUAACUGACGCUGAGGUUCGAAAGUGUGGGUAUCAAACAGGAUUAGAUACCCCAGUAGUC
rnacentral:rRNA from 1 species